CACUUAGAUGUCCUGGGCCGCACGCGCGCUACACUGACAUGUUCAACAAGCCUCCUAGUUCGACAGGAUUUGGGAAAUCUUUGAACGCAUGUCGUGAUAGGGAUAGAUCAUUGCAAUUAUUGAUCUUGAACGAGGAAUUCCUAGUAAACGCGAGUCAUCAGCUCGCAUUGAUUACGUCCCUGCCCUUUGUACACACCGCCCGUCGCACCUACCGAUUGAAUGUUUCGGUGAAGAUUCCGGAUAGGACUUUUUUGAUUUAUUUCAAUUUUGUCUUAAAAGCUAUCUAAACCUCAACAUUUAGAGGAAGGUGAAGUCGUAACA
rnacentral:rRNA from 1 species